CCUUCACAUUUAUGUUUCGACAUUUCAAAUUGUACAGUGUGUGCCGAGUCAUAAAUCCAUAGUUAUUUCUUAAAAUAGUUGAUUGUUGCUUUUCUUUUGCUCUUUUGUAAAUAUCGACCACAUGAUGUUUAGGCCUUUUGUCUUUAAGCUAAGCGGCUGCAGACUGUGUUCUUUAGGUACUUGUGUAACCAGUGCCUUUUGGCGACCUAGAAAUGUGUUAUAUUCCAUAACUGACUUCUGACCUAGCACAAUGCAUAUUUCAUAGCGAUGGAUUCUGGCACCGGCAUACGUUUGUCAUUCUUUUGGUAACAGCGGCUUAAUCUAUGAUCAUACUGUCUUUGUUUAGAUAAACCUGGUGCUACAUCCAAGAAAUUGGUCUAUUCGCUACCAAAUGUGAAUUUCAUGUUAUUUGUGAUGUCUAGGCCGACAUAGCGUCUGAUAGGGCCUAAGGAUUUGCUAGACAAGGGAAUAUACUGGCCCCAGAACUUGCUGACGAAGUUGCAGUCUUUUACAGAGGCUUCUGAUUCUAAUGGUCGCUAGUUCAGCAUGGGAGAGUGCGAUUUAUUUUUGGAGGAAAAAAUAGAAUGCUUUAGGGUCUUGAAGUAUGACAUUGAAGCAGCAUGUUUAUUAAAGCAAGGUCAAGGACCUGAAAAGUAGAACCGCAGAAUUGAAUUCUCAGGACGUGCUGGAGCAAUUGAUAGCACAUCAGCAAUUGUUAUAUCGACUUAUUGGAUGUCGAACAGAAGGGGCUGCAAAUAACAAUUAUCUGGUGCAAUAUGCUCUAGCCCAGGUAAGCUCUAUUUUUCCUGUCGUUUUGUUUGCUUCAACUGGUCAUUUGUGAAUCUGUCUGGCUAUGUCUUGCACUUUAUGACCUAUUCAAUGUUUAAUAGAGCAGUUCAAUUCCUUCUUUGUAAUAGUUUACGCAAAUUUGAGCCCAUCCUGCUACUGUACAUGUUCUUACAGGAAGCUUCAAACUUUAUUGUGCAAUAAAUGAUGGGAUUAUCAACCUUAUUGACAGGUUGUGCAGUUCUUUGCGAUGCCAAAGCAUGCAGCACUAAAAGCCCUUGACGCUUACAAGAGGGCUAUUCUGCAGGGUUAUUGUAUAUUAACAGCCAACAGUAGUGUCCAUUUCAUGCACAAGAUGAGGUGUGAACAUAGUAGAACUGUCAUUUAUGGUAAGAUAAUUUCCUGAAGCUAAUAAUGUAAUGGCCUGAUGCUAUUUGGAUGGUUCUUAUGCACUAAGCAUGACUUAUUGCUAUUAUUAUUUUAAUUGAACACAUAGAAGAACCAUAAAUUUAACCAUUUGCUUCAAGAACUAAUACACCUUUACAGAGAGACGAUUGGUAGGCAAUCGAGUAAUUUAGACGUGAUAUGCUUUCAUUAUGGCACAAAUUCUUGAGUCCAAAUAAACUACACUUGUUCUCCAAUCGGCAUGACUUCUAUUUGCAUUGAAUUGAAUAACUGAAUGUCCAAAUAAACUACACUUGUUCUUGAGUCCAAAUAAACUGCACGUGUUCUCAUCUUGUGUUGCUGCAUUUGCUGAUACCUUUACUGGAUACCCGUUGAUAUCCUUGCAACAUAUCUUUUCCAGUGCCACUGCAUUUUUAUUUCAGUACUCCUUUUUAUUAUUAGGUACUCAGUUUACACCUUGUGCGACAUUGUUAUUAGUAUUUGGUGAAUUUGUAUCUGAAUAAAGGGUACGAAUCUUCGUACAUAUUGAAAUAGGUGGUAGUUUUUUGGCCCUCUAUUUGUGCAUG